ACCACAGAGCAACAAUGAAAAUGCGAAUCACUCCAUCUCCAGCACAACGUCUGGGAGGAAAGAAGAUGAUUUUUGCUAGAUUCGGAGGAUGUAAAGCUGUUAGCAUUUAAUCUUUGGGAUGCAUCCACUUGAAGAAAUAAACCAUGAUUUCUUCAACUGGAACUAGAACUUCCACUAUCAACCUCUUUUAAUAGUUUGGCCAAAUAAUUAUUUGACCAGGAGGUGCCCACAGCUUUCCUACAGUAUGAUCUGUUUCAAUGUUGGCUGUGUCCCUGCCUUCUAUCACUUCCAACUCAUGGAGAAGAUAGAUAAGACUCAUGGGGACAGGAAGAGUGGUCCCAUUUGAACAAGAAAUGUCCAUCCUUCAUUUAGCAUGGCUUAAGACUAGCCUGGCAGGGAACAAACAUCAACACAUGAUGUAAGGAAAGAGAGGACAUGGAUCAGAAGAAUCACUGGACACAGGGGAACAAAGUUCUCCAAAGCUCUUGGAAGAGAUUACAGAAGCAACUGUGGGAAAACAGCCUGACUCAUGGUAUGGAUUCUGAGGAAGUGGAAUGACAGCCCUGGGUAAGGACACCUGCUGCCAUCUUGCUUUCUUGGUGCU